CGAGCAGUCUCUUAGGAAGACUUCUUCCUCAUCAAGAUCAAUUUUCCCUGCUCCCCUAUUGUCUGGGGAAACCUAUCUCCAGGAGCGUCUUUCUUGAAAGAUCUCAUGACUUUAAAAUCAUCAGUGGGCUUUGUGUAGUCUGCCUGUCAAAAGAGAUAUGUUUACACCUUCCCUGCAUGUGUUAGAGCUAUAAGGUUACGGAGCAGAAUGGCUGAUACGUUUCGGCGCUCCAUGCUAAUACGCACAAAAAAAUGUAUUUAUGAUAAUCAUAUGGACUGUCUGAAACAAUGCAUUCCAACAUCCUGUAACAUAAAUAAGAAAGGUGGAGCCAGCCGGCAGCCAAGUGUUUAUUUGCCAGCGAUCCUGCUCAGCGCGGCGUACCUCGGCUCCGCCGGCUCAGGCUGGCAGCAUUGAACCUGUUGCUGCAUUGGGCGAGUUGUGUUUUGCGAGCCGGGGAAGGAGGGUUGUCUGCUGUCUGGGAGGAGGGCUUUGUCUGUGUGCGCCUUUCUCUCUCUCCUCUCGCUCUCCCCGGCUCUCGCACUCUCGCUCGCUCUCGCUCGCUCUCUCUCGCUCGCUCUCCCUUUCCCGUCUCUGUGGUUUGGAAGCAGCAUAAGAAAGAAGUGUUGAGAGCUGCUCUUAACCCUUUUGGAGGCCGAAGUCAAAAGGAGAAGAGCAGGGAUAUGGUAAGAGGAAUCAAAACAUUAUUAGACCUUUUUAAGAGCCACCAGCAUAUCUGGGCAUAAAUUAUACAGGUAAGCUACAACUGGUAAACUGCAAUUAUCUGUUUUACUUAAUAUGAAAACAUUGGUGUUGAGAGUCAGUGGGAAUUUCAGUAGGAUUUAAUAUUGCUAAGGAUUUAAUGAUUUUUUUUCUCACUAUUACUUGAUAGUUUUUAUGAUAUAUAAAGUUUUUUUUCAAAUUACAGUGAGACAAAUCCUGUAGCUCUUUUCUCAGAAAGAGUCCCUCAAUGGGAGUUUUGCCUGAGUGAGAACUGAAUGAGGUCUAAAUAAUUAGCAAUUAAAAUAUUCAGUUAUUGUGCUACUGUAUAUAACAAAGCACUGGAGGUAUUAAAAAUUGCUAAUCUCCUUCUUAUUAAAAUGUUAACUGCUAAACAUAAUACAGUUUUGCAUUUCUAUCAUUCAUUUUUACAGUUCAUUAGUAGAGGUGAAAUGUUUGUGACAAAUAGUCAUUUGAACUUUUAAGGGAUUGACUUUGUUUUCCUGGCAUUUUAGUUAGUAUUUCCGACUGAGUUAAUUUGCAAGCAGAAGUCUUUGCGUAAGCCGUGGAUUUUAGUAAAAAACCUGAUCAUGAGUAACUUCUCACAUGCCAUUCAUGAGUAUUUGCAGAAAAAAGCCAGUGGUAGGCUACUCCUCAGGAGGCAGGGCUGGCCAGCUUGAGUGUGUAAUUUAUGUAUGUUUAUGGCUGUUUGAGUAUGUAAUUUUUACAUUUUGAUCCAGCAGCUUCUUGUAAUGAACUCCAGUGAUAGGUUAAGGGUUGUCCAAAGGGUUUACUGGACAAUUUUCAGUGAGACACUGGCCUGUGAACAGUUCAGCAACUGGCUAAGGAGCAAAGCUGUGCACCCCAGGCCUGUAAAUUAGCACAUGAACUCUAUUACCCUGCUAGUUAAUGUAAAGGCCAGACUGUGCUCUCAUCCUGCUUCACAGUGCAAAAGAAUGAGUAAGAUGCAUCUCCUAUCUCCUCCACGUAGCAGCAGAGGAAGUGUGGGAAGGGAGAGUCAUAUUUGGUGACAGAGAACAGAGUGGUAAGUGAAGGUGGUAAAUGGUAGAGGAAGAAGAUGAAUUUAUGAAAGGAUUUGGAGACAAGUGAAUUUCCCACGGGAAGACAACACCCUCAAUGCUAUUUCCCCCAUAGUCACUCCCUGGAGUCGAUUUUCUUACCUACUAUGCCUAAAGUUUUUUUUUUCUGAUCUUUCUGUAGAGACAUUUAGACCUAGGAUUUAAUUGUGCCAUAUAACUGUUGGCAGUUCAGGCCAUGAUUCUGCAAGGAUUUACACCUGUAUUUCACUUACAGCAUUAUGAGUAAUCCUGUUGAAAUACAUGAGAUUAAUUGCAGGACAUAAAGUUAGGCAUGUAUAUUUGUCUUCGUAGCAAAAGAGGUGUAGUUUAAUUUAUUUAUUUACUUUCAGGGUGGGAAAUUAUUUUUAAAAAUACAUAAAUACACAGGAUUUUCCACAAAUUUUGUAGCAAUGAAAGAGGAGAUGGAUGAUCACAAAAUAAGCUUUCUGCUUGCUCCCCAAAAUCACAUUUUUGUCAUGUUCUCAGCUGUAAAGUGUGGGUAAGAAUAGGCUGCAAUAAUUUUCCUUUUUACAUACACAGUUAACCCUCGAGCUAGAAUGAUAUGAUCAUAUGAUUUAUUACAGAGGAGUGAACAGGACUGAAAUCAAACAGGAAGGCAUGUGUACUUAUGUGGACUCUUGUUUAUAAUUUCAUCAGAUUGGUGCACACCUCAGACAUUUUAUUUAGUGAUAAGAUAUGCAAAUUAUUCUGGAGCCAGCAGCAAUACCUUCACCUGAAUGUUAAAAGUGGCAGAGAUUUUUAAACCAACCUCAGUAACAACUUGUAUUUUAAAGUAACUGUUAUUAAGAUAUAGCUACCAACUACAGCCAAGUAAGUGCAGAAUAGUUUCCUACUUUCCUUCAUACCAGUUUCCUUCCUCUCUUGUUUACCUCCAUGGAGGAACAAGGCUGCAAGCUUACCUGUAAAUACUGGGUGUAACUAUGGGCAACAGUGCAGAUGAGCUAUACAGGUAUGUGGAAAUUUGUACAAAGCACAGGAAUGCAGUUUGAAAAUGGGGAGACCUAAGGUAUGAGACAUACCAGAGAAGAUAUCUUCUGUUUCUCCAGAUGCCUACCUACAUCACAUCUUUGUAUCUGUGAAGGGAUGGGUAGCACAGACUUAAUUUCAACUGCUUGCUCUGUAUUUGGUUUUAGUUUUCUUGCAUUUGUGUCCUUAAAUCAGAAUGUGGUAGUAGAAGCCUGUGGAUGCAGUGGAACGUUUGGAUGGUAGCUUUGCCAUGAGAUCGAGAACUGAAAUUCCUCAAAGCUGUAGAUGUUCAGCUGCUGGGCUUUUGGUUUUAAGUGUACAUGCACUCAUGAGAAAAGAGGUGUCACUGAAUAUGCAGCCUGGGAUUUAAAUGUUAGAUGUGUUUAUUUUUUGAAUUCUUGUUCAAGUCAGUGUGCAGUGACUGUAAAGUGAUAAUCCUGUGUAUUUUCCUUAGAUUCCUCCACUUUUCUGUAUGGAUGUGUGCUCAUAACUAUGUCCAAACACUUCCAUAUGAAGUUUUCCUAGGACCUUCUUGGCUUGUUUUCUUCUUCUUGUUGUUUUUAGUGUGUGUACCUAAUUAACCAGAAAGCUAACUGGACUGAAAACAUCCAACAAAGGGUAAUAACUGAAGCUCCUAAUUAGAAAGAUAUGACCUGUCCAUAAAAUGUAAGUCCUGUAAUACAUUCUCAUGGAUCUGGGUGCACUUUGUGAAAAAGCCAAAAUACUCAAGUCUUACUGCUUGUGUGGAUUUGGGCCACUGCAGCAGAACAUUUUGUUUACAACAUCUAAUUCUAGGACCCACUUUGGUGUUGUGGAUACUUGACUUCUAUCCACUCAAAUGGAAGCACUUCAAAAUAAUUAAAGUAAAUGAAUUAUCCAUACACAAAGCAAACCCUUUCAGAGGGAAAGUGAGUUUAAGGAACGCAAGAAUCUGCUUUUCUUUUGGUGUGUUUUUUUUUCUCAACCGUGUAUUUCAAGGUCUUCUUAAAUAAGAAGCCAAUGCUUUUAUUGAAACAUAAAAAAUAAACUUGAAUUUUUGAUUGUCCUUUCUGCCA
ensembl:lncRNA